rnacentral:ribozyme from 1 species
UUCCUAGCAACUCCUAUUCCUACCUCCUUGUGGUACUGACUGGGGUACGAGUAACCUUAGGGAAGAUCGGGUAACCAACCCCGGUGGGAACUUUGGUCGUAUGCUGACAGGAAAGG